ensembl:snoRNA
GGCCUCGUGUGAUGGAGACAUGCCCGGGGAGGACUGUGACCAACUGGGAUGUAUUCUUACUGUCUGAUGGGCC